AUGUACCCCAUGUCUGUCACUCCUGCUUGCAUGGUUAUGAAGAUCAUCCAUCUUGAGCAAUUUCUAAUGGAGUAAUGCUGCAAGGAGUAACUGGCACUCAUCUGUUGUGGAACUGUGUGAUUCUGAUGAUGUUUCAUAGCAUCGGUUCAAGUUUUGCAUCACCAACUCAGCAUGUUUUAGAAAAAAGUGAAGUGGCGCCCAGCAAAUUUAAAGUGAAACUGAAAGAUGCAUCAGAAGCUCUUGUAAACUUCUUUGCUCCAGUGACAUGCCGUCACAAAGACAAGCAAGCCUUAAUUCCUUGUCCUGUAGGAGAGAGCAUUAACACAACAGAAUGCUUGGAAAAUAAAUGUUGUCCUUCCAAAACCAGCCAUGAACUGAAAUGUUAUACCCCGUUUAAAGACAAUCUGCAGCUGACAUUUCGAUUGUUUGUGCUUGGAGCAGGAGGAUUUUUUAUUUUGGGGUGUCUACCAUUUUGUUGCUGUGCCUGUUUGCAGAGGAGUCAAUGUUUCAAUCCUUUACGAAGUGCAAGUAAAGAAGUAGAACAAAUUGUGCAGAAGAAAAGAGCACAUAGUGAAAAUAAUCAYGGCUUUUUAUCGGAUUUACUUAAGAAAAACUCCAAGGGCCAUAAGAGCAAGAAAAAAGAGGAACAUUCAGCUGAUCUCGAAGACCUCAAGCAGGACAAGGACACCAGGCUUACUUGA
ensembl:lncRNA